rnacentral:rRNA from 1 species
GAUGAACGCUGGCGGCGUGCCUAAUACAUGCAAGUCGAGCGAACGGACGAGAAGCUUGCUUCUCUGAUGUUAGCGGCGGACGGGUGAGUAACACGUGGAUAACCUACCUAUAAGACUGGGAUAACUUCGGGAAACCGUAGCUAAUACCGGAUAAUAUUUUGAACCGCAUGGUUCAAAAGUGAAAGACGGUCUUGCUGUCACUUAUAGAUGGAUCCGCGCUGCAUUAGCUAGUUGGUAAGGUAACGGCUUACCAAGGCAACGAUGCAGAGCCGACCUGAGAGGGUGAUCGGCCACACUGGAACUGAGACACGGUCAAGACUCCUACGGGAGGCAGCAGUAGGGAAUCUUCCGCAAUGGGCGAAAGCCUGACGGAGCAACGCCGCGUGAGUGAUGAAGGUCUUCGGAUCGUAAAACUCUGUUAUUAGGGAAGAACAUAUGUGUAAGUAACUGUGCACAUCUUGACGGUACCUAAUCAGAAAGCCACGGCUAACUACGUG